UGAUAAAAAAAGGCCGAGUUGACUCCUCUACUCGGCCUAGGGAAAAUGGCUCUUAAGAGCCGUGCGCUAAAAGUGUCAUUGAGACGAAAAACAACUUACAAUUUAAAGAAUAGCUGACAUACUUGCCUUUUACCAACUU
rnacentral:sRNA from 1 species